rnacentral:rRNA from 1 species
GUGUCAGCAGCCGCGGUAAAACCAGCACCUCAAGUGGUCAGGAUGAUUAUUGGGCCUAAAGCAUCCGUAGCCGGCUCUGUAAGUUUUCGGUUAAAUCUGUACGCUCAACGUACAGGCUGCCGGGAAUACUGCAGAGCUAGGGAGUGGGAGAGGUAGACGGUACUCGGUAGGAAGGGGUAAAAUCCUUUGAUCUAUUGAUGACCACCUGUGGCGAAGGCGGUCUACCAGAACACGUCCGACGGUGAGGGAUGAAAGCUGGGGGAGCAAACCGGAUUAGAUACCCGGGUAGUCCCAGCUGUAAACUAUGCAAACUCAGUGAUGCAUUGGCUUGUGGCCAAUGCAGUGCUGCAGGGAAGCCGUUAAGUUUGCCGCCUGGGAAGUACGUACGCAAGUAUGAAACUCAAAGGAAUUGACGGGG